AUAGCACUAUCCUUCUUUGAACUUGGACUCUCUAUGAGCUCAUUUGAAUGUGUUUUUAAAAUGACUGAUAGCAUUUUUAAAGAAAAUGUUUUUUAGUUUCAAAAGCACUUAAAGUGCUUUCUAGAAAGCACUUUAAGUGCUUUUUCUAUAAUUUACUUGCAUUUUUACUAAGGAUUGAUUCCAAAAACAUUUUGACCAAGAGUACUUUCAAUCAUUUUAAAAACACAUCCAAAUAAGCAUUAUAUUGUUUGGUGCAGUGUUGGUUUUACAAAUUUAAUAUGAAUAGAGAUUGUAACUCCACGCAUUUUAAGAAAAUGUUAGAAAUCUCUUUUUUGUUUCCCCAGCUCACGCCUCCAAUAAUUUUUAGCUAAAAGAGAAUCUUCGGUAAGAGUGUCACACUAUCAGAUAUGUAAGGUAAGUUAGUAAGACGUUGUCAAGUUGACACAAACAAAAUUAACCAAAAAGCCAGACAAACUUGAGCAACAACCAAUUUUGAGUUAUAUUCAUGUUAAAUUAGCCAAAGUAUCAAAGUGAAGUAAAAACAAAUAGGGACAAAUCA
rnacentral:lncRNA from 1 species